GAACGUACGUAAGGUUCAUUUACCCGUAAUUUGCCUGCCAUUUUGUGAAAUUGUGGAAAGAAAACAUAAAAGUUAAAUGUGCUAUUUGUCUUUUUGCCUCCUGAACUGGUGAAAACCGACUCAAUGAAGUGGCCACCAGGAUGCCCAAAGAUAAAUAUGAUAAAGAUAAGUACGACCAUAGUCACCACAACGGAAUCAACACUCACAAGGGCCACAAUGGGAUAUCAAGAGAUAGGAGUCAUCGUAUCAUGACACAGGACGAGGUGGUUGGGGGCAAGAAGUCACAUUGGGAGGGUCUAGAACUUACAGGUACUAUACGCAAUAUCAGUCCGCAGCUUUGGAAAUUAAAUCAUUUAACCGUGCUGUAUAUGACUGACAAUCAACUGACCCGAGUGCCUGCUGAUAUCUGUCAGCUUACUCAUCUUGUCAAAUUAGACCUGUCGUAUAACAAGCUGAGGAGCCUACCGGUAGAGAUAGGGGACCUGAUAUCUCUCAGGUAAGAUGUCACUGUAGUGAAUAUUAACGAUAUUCUGUUAAUUAAUGAUCAUUUUGAGGAUCAUCAUGAUGAGUCAAAUCAUCCUGUAAAACAAAGGGGGGGGGGGGGCUAAAAAAAAUUAGUGAGUGAAAACCACUGUCAAGGCAGGGAAAAAAUAUUUUUUUUUUUUAGGGGGCUCCAUUUUAAAUUUUUUGUCAAAUUUCGGGGGCUCCAUUUCUACCUUUCGGGGGCUACUUUUUGCAUUUCGGGGGCUCUUUUUGAAUGCUUCUUUUUUGUAUUUUGAGGAAUACCUGUUCACUUAUUAAUGAAUUAUUACUUUUUGUUUAAUAUUGUAUGAUUUUUAAAGUUAUUUUUUUCAUGCUUAGAAUCUUGGGUGUGUGUGUGUGGGUGUGACUGUGAGUUGGACUUGGAUAUAAAUGAAUUCAAUAUCUAAUUUCUACUCCACCUAUUCCAGUACAAUACCCUGUACUCGGCCAUGUUCAUGUAAUAAAGGCCCACAUACCCUAACUUUUUGUGAAGUUCUUUGAAAACGCAGAUCUCUAUGAAAAUUUCAUUUCUCUAUUGGGGAGUCUAAAUUUGGUGAGAAUGUAUUUAUUAAGAACUUAAAUAUACAUGACAAUGAAGAAAUCAUCAAACUUUAUUGGCAGUUUUGAAUAAUAUACCUGAAAUGCAAACUCUGUCUGAAACAGAAAAUCACCAUCAUUGAGGCCUUUACUGAGCGAAUUGUCCCCCAGAGCUCUGGCAGAGAGACAGAGCUCAGACUGGCUAGCUAAUACAAGCGCCAAUGCGUGCGCCUGCUGCCGGCCUUGUAAAAUAGAGCUUUGUUUGAUGAGUUAUUGUCUGAUAUUUACCACAUCCCCAAGAAAAAUAAAACAAAUGAUUUUUAAGUUAUAAUUAAUAAAUAAGGUAAGUUACUUUGGAUGUUAAUAGGCCGUUUUGAAAAGCAAAGCCGAAUGACAACUCACCAAUGAUAGGUUACUAGACUCUGGGAUUUAUUUCCUGUGUAAUUCGAAUUAUUUUAUCACAGAAUUGUGAUAUCUGUAGGGGAAACAUGUGCAUUAGAAAUUGCACAUGGUGGUAGUCAUAAUGGACCCCUAUACAUGCAACUGUUUCCCGACCGUCGCGUUGAUUUUUUUUCCCAUACCUGGUACCAUGUGUGUGGAAAAACGUGGUACAGAAAAAAAGACGCAACUUCGGAAUUUGAAACUGCGCUCCUCGCUAUUUUCAAGGCUUAUUCAUGAUUUUGAGUGUGGAUUUUGGAUGAUUUUUAAAUGGUAAGCGGAGCUCGAGCAUAUGGCGCUAGUGGGUCGUUGAGUUGUUAUCACUCGGCAAUAAUUUCGGGGGCGACAUUCAGAUUUUAUGUCGCCCCCGAAAGCAUGAUUUUGGGUGAUUUCGAGGGCGACUUUAGGCAUUUCCGGGGCGAAUUCGCCCGCCGCCCCCGUGUAUUUUUUUCACUGUGUCAAGGUGUGUUGUGAAACACACCCCUGUUGUAAGCAUACUGAAGAGAUAACUGUCUAAAGGUAUGCAGUUCUCAUGGUGAUAUCAUUGAAUUGAUCAAAUUGGUUUCAUGGUUUGUAUUGUAUGCAACAUGCUACCAUCCCAUGUCAAAAGGAAGCAACUCUUAUAAUUUUUUUUCAAAAUUGACUUCCUAGAUUAGGGAUAAUUUCUGUAUGCUGUAUUGAUGCUAAAGGUAUUUGGGUCACACCGCUUCGAAUUUCUGAAAUAUAGACGUUUCUAUAAAAGCAAGUAAUUCCUCAUGCAACAAUUACAUAUUUUCCUCAUUUAUUAAAGAAACUCAUUCCGCAGAGUCACUUCCAAUUGUUAUUGGAUGACAGCUAAGACCGUUGAUGCGCGGUUUGUGAAAAGAGAAUCAGAUAAAUUAAGACAUGAACCAUUUAUCUUUCCAUAUACAUGUAUGUUGUAAAGCCUUUUAACUGAUUUUGAAAUCUAUCUGUACUUCCAUGGAGGAUGAAAGUUGAAGUUACUUUAAAAAUCAUCAAAUAUAACAAAAUCUUGUGAAAGAAUGCACCAAAAUCACUAGAUUUUGAUCCCUGAAAAAAAAAAAAUGUGGGGGGGAUACUCAAUUUUCGUGACUGAGUAUGUACAUUUAGGUUUGUUUGUGGGUUUGUUGAUUUAAUUGAGUUCAUUGUUUUUCAAAAACUUUAGCAUAAAUAAGCCAACAUGUAUUUUGCCUAUUAGAAAUGGACUCCACAUUUUCAAGUAUCUUGUUGUCAUGGUGAUGAUGAUGUGCAUUACGUAAAUUGUAUGAACCUGUUGAUCUGUAAUGUGGGCGUUGAUUCUGAUUUGAACAAGACAAGUGUACUUUAAAGAAAGAUUCUCUUAUAGAUUCUUGCUCAUUAAAAGAGAAUGAAACACCGGGAACGUGUUUAGCUGGUGUGAAAACAGAAGAAUCAAAGAAUAAGAAAAGAUCAAUGAAACUUUGGAAAAAAAAAUGGACUUGAAAGUUGAGCAUUGGGCAUUUGAGUGUUGUGUACAUCUUCCCAUUGUCAAAUUACAUUAUUUUUCGCACAAGCUAACUCAUUCCAAGGGUUUCAUUUUCCUUUUAUGCAAGCCUUUCUUUUAAUAUGGAUUUACAUGUACAUGUACUUGAUAGAUUUUUCAUGUUACAGCUCAGAAACGUUACAUUUUAUGUUUCUUAUUAUGAAUAUUAAGCAUCAAAGCUUUCGCUACAUGUAUUUGUCAUAAAUUUGUGAAGGAAGAUUUGGUAUCAUGGUCUUUGGUCAUCAUCUUCGGACUCCCAACAGCUUUAAUUUUUUUUUUUACAUUCCAUUUCCCCCAAAUAUCAACACAGUACAGAAGGUGCCCAAUAUGAAGAACAAGCUCAAAGAAGAAUGAAAAAAUAAUAAUCUUAUGAAAAUAUUUAAAAGAUUCAAGUGGACAAGAGAUUUUCAAGAAUAGGCAAAAAUGAACAUGCUUGUGGGUGCUUUAUAAACUUGAAGUUUUUUAAGGUCAUUGCAGAGCUGCCAACUGUAAUUAACUUUUUUUUGCCAUAAAGUUUAAUAUGGCAUUACGUACUUCUUUCUUCAUAAUAAAAAGAAAAAAGAAAAGUGUAUCCUAUUGAGAAAAAUAGUCUCUACAUGUCUCUAUUUUAUAAAACUUAAUACAUGUACAUGACAUGUAGGUAUAUAUAUUGGAUGAAUAAUGUAAUUUCAGGUAAACCAAUAUUUCAAAUAACAGUUUUGAGCAUCACUGAAUACAUUUUCUCAUUCCCAGAGGUUGGCAAUUCUGGUUUUAAGGGUCGUGUUGAGAAAUCCUUUUUUCGUUUGAAAAUUCCCCCUUUUUUGCCAAAUGUUAUAAUUUCCUUUUUGGGUUGCACA